UACGUAGGGGUCGAGCGUUGUCCGGAGUUACUGGGCGUAAAGCGCGCGCAGGUGGCUCAUUACGCCCGGCGUGAAAGCCCCCGGCUCAACCGGGGAAGGUCGUCGGGUACGGGUGAGCUUGAGGGUAUCAGGGGCUGGUGGAAUUCCCGGUGUAGUGGUGAAAUGCGUAGAGAUCGGGAGGAACACCCGUGGCGAAGGCGGCUAGCUGGGAUACACCUGACACUGAGGCGCGAAGGCGUGGGGAGCGAACGGG
rnacentral:rRNA from 1 species